rnacentral:rRNA from 1 species
UACGUAGGUGGCAAGCGUUGUCCGGAUUUAUUGGGUCUAAAGGGUGCGUAGGCGGUCUUUUAAGUCAGUGCUGAAAUAUCCCGGCUUAACCGGGAGGGUGGCAUUGAUACUGAAGGACUUGAGUAAAGUUGAGGUAGGCGGAAUUGACGGUGUAGCGGUGAAAUGCUUAGAUAUGACAUAGAACACCAAUUGCGAAGGCAGCUCACUACACGAAUAUUGACACUGAGGCACGAAAGCGUGGGGAUCAAACAGG